rnacentral:rRNA from 1 species
CUAAGAAUAUUCCGCAAUGGACGAAAGUCUGACGGAGCGACGCCGCGUGGAUGAAGAAGGCCGAAAGGUUGUAAAGUUCUUUUGCUAGGGGAGAAUAAGUGAGGGAGGGAAUGCCCUCAUGAUGACAAGGACUAGCGAAUAAGCCCCGGCCAACUACGUGCCAGCAGCCGCGGUAACACGUAGGGGGCGAGCGUUGUUCGGAAUUACUGGGCGUAAAGGGCAUGUAGGCGGCUUGGUAAGCCUGGCGUGAAAGACUGCAGCUUAACUGUAGGGAUGCGUUGGGAACUGCUUAGCUUGAGUUACGGAGAGGGAGCUGGAAUUCCUGGUGUAGGGGUGAAAUCUGUAGAUAUCAGGAAGAACACCGAUGGCGAAGGCAAGCUUCUGGUCGAUAACUGACGC